rnacentral:tRNA from 2 species
GGCGCCGUAGCCAAGUGGUAAGGCAGAGGUCUGCAAAACCUCUAUUCGCGAGUUCGAUUCUCGCCGGCGCCU